rnacentral:rRNA from 1 species
GAUGAACGCUAGCGGCGGGCUUAAUACAUGCAAGUCAAGGGGUAGCAAUGCACCGGCGUACGGGUGCGUAACGCGGAUGGAACCUGCCCUUAUACGGGGGAUAACUCGGGGAGACUCGAGCUAAUACCGCAUACGAUAGUAGAAUGCAUCAUUCAGCUAUAAAAGAUUUAUCGGAAGAGGAUGGCCAUGCCUAAGGUUAGAUAGUUGGUGGGGUAACGGCUCACCAAGGCUACGAUCUUUAGGGGCUAGGAGAGGAGAAUCCCCCACACGGGCACUGAGAUACGGGCCAGACUCCUACGGAAGGCAGCAGUAGGGAAUAUUGGGCAAUGGGCGGAAGCCUGACCCAGCCACGCCGCGUGCAGGAAGCAGGCCCUCUGGGUUGUAAACUGCUUUUGAUUGGGAAGAAAGCAUCUCAUGCGUGGGAUUUUGACGGUACCAAUCGAAUAAGCCACGGCUAACUACGUGCCAGCCGCCGCCGUAAGAC